rnacentral:rRNA from 1 species
UGGAGGAAAAGSUAGGGGAUCGCAAGACCUUGCGCUYUUGGAGCGGCCGAUGUCUGAUUAGCUAGUUGGUGAGGUAAAGGCUUACCAAGGCGWCGAUCAGUAGCUGGUCUGAGAGGACGACCAGCCACACUGGGACUGAGACACGGCCCAGACUCCUACGGGAGGCAGCAGUGGGGAAUUUUGGACAAUGGGGGAAACCCUGAUCCAGCCAUGCCGCGUGAGUGAAGAAGGCCUUCGGGUUGUAAAGCUCUUUCAGCCGGAACGAAACGGUCACGGCUAAUACCUGUGACYACUGACGGUACCGGAAGAAGAAGCACCGGCUAACUACGUGCCAGCAGCCGCGGUAAUACGUAGGGUGCAAGCGUUAAUCGGAAUUACUGGGCGUAAAGCGUGCGCAGGCGGUUUUGUAAGUCAGAUGUGAAAUCCCCGGGCUUAACCUGGGAACUGCGUUUGAAACUACCAAAAGCUAGA